rnacentral:lncRNA from 1 species
GUACAGUUGGGUAAAUCGAGGCCCAGAGAUGGCAAAAGGACCGUCCAAGGUCGUACAGCCACCCGGAAUUACAAUUCUUUUCUGCCGGGUCACACGCUGUCAUCCACGUGUUACCUAAGAGAGCUUUCCAGCCUGUGCUAAGAAAACUGCCCCACAUCAUCUGCAGUAGGACGGGGGAGUUGGAGCCCUGGUCAGGCCACUCUGCUACUGACCACAGUUUUCUCAUCUCUAAAAAGGCGCAGUAACAAUAUAAUUACCGUAUGCAGUCCCCCAGGAUACAGGGUCAAAGGAGAGCACAACCAUCGCAGUUGGAAGCCCAUGGGGCAGCCCAGUGCAGAUGCAUCUGACUUACGAAACUUCAGUGACACCUGCUCUGUGCCAGACACUGAAGAUGGAGCAGUGAACAGCACUGACCCAGCCUGUCCUCCUGUUGCCUGCAGGCCAGCAAGGUCUCGCUGUGUUACCCUGGCUGGAGUGCAGUGGCUACUUACAGGCAUGAUCAUAGCAUACUGCAGCCUCGAACUCCUGGACUAGAGCAGUUCUCCUGCCUCAGCCUCCAGAGCAGCUGGGACUGCAGACACGCACCACAGAGCCCAGCCUGAGUCAUUUUGAUUCUGUAACUGGCUUCCUCUCGGCGGGCAGGCUCACACCCUCCACCCCCAGCUGGAGAUGGAAGGAGGAUGCUCACCGCCCAUUCCUCAUGCAGGCCAUCGAUGGAAAUGUCAGACAGUGCGAGUCCACGCCUGAACACUUCUGGGGUCCGCUCUGGGACUGACACUGGCAGAUCCAUCGGUGAGCUCCCGCCUGCCACCUCUGGGCCUGCAUUGCGGUGAUAGGGCCAAGGGCCUGGGCCUUCAAUUCUCCAGACUUGCCAAAAUGCUCAGCGCAGGCCUCGUCGGCAACUGCAGACAAGCAGAGGCAGCACCUGGGCUCUGCCUGUGCCUGGCACAGUGAAGCGAGGGUGGGGGCAGGAAUGAGGGUCCUCUCCAUGCAAGGGGGGAAGAUAGAAGAACAAAAUUUCACCCUAAUGUAGUGUCUUUAGACCGUGCAAUGUUGUGCUCCUGUUAGUCUGAUAUCAGGGGCUUGCAGCCUGGCAAAGGAAAAAAAACAGGCUGAGGCACAUGAUAGAAGACAGGCAGGGAUGCCACAAUCAUAACCAUGGCAAAGACCAGGAUCAGAAAGGCCCACCAUCUCUGACCCCAAAUCCCUGGGCAGAUGGUUCCAGAACUCAGAAUUUUCCCAGUUGUAGAAAGAUGGGGCCAGGUGCAGUGGCUCACGCCUGUAAUCCCAGCAUUUUGGGAGUACAAGGUGGGCGGAUCACCUGAGGUCAGGAGUUCGAGACCAGCCUGGCCAACAUGGUGAAACCCUGUCUCUACUAAAAAAAAAAAAAAAAA